CCACACUUGUACUUUUCUACCUGCAACAUAAUCAACAAAAAAAAAGGGGUUCAGAUGAGAUCUAGAGAGAAAGAGAGAGACUUGAAAAGGGAGAGACCGAGAUGGAAGCCGACAGGCGGUGGUUCUAGGGCGACGUCGUGGCAGCGACUUCGCCGCGGUGUUGGAGAUAACAUGCCUGAUUCCGGCGAACCUAGGGUUCUUCCAUCAUCAUCAUGAGUCACUACACCAUUCCCACACACAAUUCCAUCAAACAAAGUUCACCACCAGUCACCACCAUCAUCAUCAUGAGUUCCUACACCGAACCCUAAAUGACAGUCGGCUCUCCUCCCCCUCAAGGCCAGUUACCCUUCCAUCCAGAUCUUCUUUAUGACGGAUAUCAUUUCAAAAUUAGGGCUUUUAUCUAUGUCAUUCGAUUCUUGCGAUUAUUCUUUGAUCUCUGGGACUGCAGAUAUCUUGGAUUUGAUCUUCACUUUUUGGUCAAAGGAUUCAUUAUUAAAGUGCAGCUAAAUUUAGGGUUUCGGAGUGAAUUAUAUUGGCAGCCUUAUCCGGUUCCAGUGAGAAAGCAAGCAUGGUUAGCACAGGGUAAGACGUUGCGUUUGGAAUAACUAUUAAAAUGAGGUUGUCAUCAACAUAAACGUGGCGCGGCGGCUGAGGAAAGCGAUGACUAGGGCUUCGAUAACUUCUCCGAUCAGAUUCCACUUGCUCUGAUCACCAGUCCUCACCGUGCAUGUGACAUCUUCAUAUAUAUCGGCAACAAUACGCGUUUGAAGGUUGAUGGGUGCUUUUAAACGCUUUAGGGGCUCUGAAAGACUCCACCAAGGUUGGACUUACAAAGAUCAAUAGCGAAUUCAAGAUGCUACUCGUAAAGAUGUUGUCUGAUCAAAUAUGAAGGCUUUGUAAUCAUUCGGAUAUUAGUUGAUCAACCAAAAGUACUAUAUUGUUUUCCACAUGCUUGACCUUAUUUUUGUCGGCUGCUCGAAGGGGCGAGGUUGUCUCCGGUGAACAAGAUCAUGAACAAAACUAUGGUAGGGAUAGUAACCGGAGGAAUGAGGAAGGGGAUUACAGGAGCAAUCAAAAUCAGAAUUAAAAAUGGGAUACAAGGAGACCACAAAAGUUGGUUUUCUUUUGAUCUCUAGAUGAGAGAAUCUCAACUCAAAACCGACGAAGACUCAUACACGUGCACAUGACGUGAGGGUGUGCAAAAAGGGUUAUGCUGGCAUGUCAACUCACCAAGGUAUAGAAAAAUUGGUGGUACACAACAAGGGCAUUUCUACGGCUGGAAUUGUUCAUUUUGCUCAAAGAUCAGUAAGUGGUAAAACUUUAUUUAGCAUGCAGUUAGUUCCUACCGGUUUUUGGGACUUUAGUUGCUUGUCAAAGAAACAGUUAUUGGAUUAUUUGUUGUCAACAUGUGUUUAUUAGUGUACACAAUUAUUAAUAUACAUAUAACAUUGUAGUUAUAAUUAUAACUCGAGUUUGUAACUCUGAUCGAUUA